GGGGCUGACUUGGCUUCGACAGCGUGAUGGAAGUUCCAGAUGCAGGCCGAGGUGCGGUGACCUCGUUAAUCAGCCGCAAAAAACUAGUUGCCAACGACGACAACUACGCACUCGCCGCUUAAACCCCGGUAGGGUGCCGUCUGGCCGGAGCCGUGCUUGUGCGUCCGGUGCUCUUCGGAGCAACCCAGGCGUCGAUUCUCACAAGAUCGCGAUGAAGCACGUCCGGGGCCGACUCGCUAAAACUAACGGAAUCGCCGUUUCACAUGCCCUGUCCGUCGGACGGUAAGCGGCUAAAACCAAAGACUGGAAUAAGCCUGUAGAUUUUGGCGCGGAAGCGCGUUGGACGCGGGUUCGACUCCCGCCAGCUCCACCA
rnacentral:tmRNA from 2 species